AGGGUUUUAGUUUAGAAAAAUACUGGACUGUCAGACCAGAGACGAAGAAAUAUCUUCAAACCUUG
rnacentral:tRNA from 1 species